CUUUGAUGGAAAAUUAAAAAACAAUUAUUGAUCAGUAGGACGACAAAUAUUUGGCAGAUAAGAGAAAGGGACGUUGGUAUUUUGACUUCUCACAAUUUUUGUUUCUUCUCAUUUGGGAUAUUCUCCUUAGUAUAUUCUUUUCUUUUGCAGCUUCAUGGGCUUGUACUUUUAGCUGCCCAUUGUGCAAUCUAAUAGAUGAAGGACUUCCGGGAGACAUUGGAUCCUUGUCCUCUUUGAAAGAGUUGAAUCUCCGGGGAAAUAAUUUUGAGCAUUUGCCUCGAAGCAUAUCUCAACUUGGUGCUCUUCUAUCCUUGGACUUAUCAGAUUGCUAGAGGUUUACCCAACUGCCAGAACUUCCACCAGAAUUAGAUGCAUUGCAUGCAUAUUGGAGCAAUGAUACGAUCUAUAAUUCGUUUGAACAUGUCAUGUUUCAAAAUAUCUCUUCCCCACAGCAUGACAUCUCUGCUUCAGAUUCCUUGUCACUAAGAGUGUUUACCAUCGGGAAGAAUAGCCCAAGUUGGUUCCACCGUCGUGGAAUUGGUAGAAGUGCAUCUGUCAAUUUGCCUGAAAAUUGGUAUGUAUGUGAUAACUUCUUGGGAUUUGCUGUAUGUUACUCUUACAAAUUAGUUGACAUGAUAGCUCACCCGAUUCCCUUACGUAAUGAUGGGAUGUCGUGGAUCACCCAGAAACUUGCCUUAUACAACCAUUGAAAAUGUGAUACAACAUCUAGUAUUCAUUUUUUCUUGGUACUUUUUGCUGGCUUAUGGGAUAUAUCAAAGGCAAAUGGAAAAACACCAAAUGACUAUGGACUUAUCAGGUUAUAUUUUUCCGGAGAAAUGAAGAAGUAUGGAUUUCGUUUGUUAUAUAAAGUUGAACCUGAGCUUGAGGCCUUGUUACAAAUGAGGGGAAAUAAUGAUGAGCCAACAGAACUUUGCAUUGGGAUAAGGAGGCGCAAAUAUGACGAUAGUGAAAACCAUGAAGAAGCCAGUUGCUCCUUUUGUAAGAAACACACGACACAUUAUAAUAUCCGUGGCUCUGUUUUCGAGAAUCUGCCGUAACAAGUAGAAGCUCCAGUCUCUUCAAAAACGUUGCAGCUCUUCCCCACAAGCCCAUGAUUUUAGAUUAAAUAUUGAGUUCAUCAAUGGGUGAUGUAGACAUCAAUAGUGGGUUUUGUCAAUUGAUUCCCCAUCUUGUAUUCGACUUGUGUUGAGCCAUGAUUAACCAUGAUUUGAGUAGCUCACAAGCUGCGAAGAUAGAGUAAGGAACACCCAUUUGCACAACUCUCAGGAUCGGAUUUGUGGUCCAGGUGCUUGCGACUUUGCAUCUUAUCUCGGUGCUCCAUCUUAAGUCAUUUACUGCAAGCCAGUAUUCUGCUUUUAUGUAUACCCGCAGAUAUAAAGAUUUCACUGAGCGAUCAUUGGUAGAUGGAGAUUCAUUUGAGGUUCUUCUCAUAGGAAAGACAAAGGAUUGUUAUUCCCAAAGGUCCCCACUGAUCCAUUAAUAGUUCAUUUUUAUGCUCCCGGAUUGUUACAUUUGGGGAAAUCUCUGUUUUGAAUCUGAUUGCUUUAACUUUUACAUACAGAUAUCUUUGUUAUGGUGGGGAGUAGGGUAAAAGAUGAAACAAUUGACAUGAGUUGGAUUAGGUCACACGAAUCAUCGUUGUGUGAUUCAAUCUAGUUCAGCAGUAUUCCUGGAUUGACAGAAUAUUUUCUUUUAUUGAAAGCUUGUAUUAUAUGUUUACUUGUAUUUGUGCUAUUGUUAUCCGACAACAUUGAUGUAUAUGAAGGUCUUGAGAUACGUUGGAGUCGUGGACGUGUCAACUGAAAAGGGGCAGUCGAGCUGGAGUAAAUAACAUUAUCCAUUUGCACAACUCUCAGGAUUGGAUAACAUAAAUGCAUUCGCAACUGAAAAAUAUGCAAAUCAACUUCUAUUAGUCCGUUGUCCAGAUGUAUACCUGACAGAUAUAAAGAUUUCACUGAGCUAUCAUUGGUAGAUGAAGAUUCCUUUGAAGUUCUUCUCAUAGAAAAGGCAAAGGGUUAUGAUUCCCUAAGGGAGGUCGGGAAAAAGAUGAAACAUUCAAAGAUGCAGCAAGCAUGAGACGGUGAGGAAGCUGGAAUACGAGGUGAAGUUGAGUGCAAACUGGGACCAUGGUGCUUUUAGAACAAACUGUAACACUGUCUAUGAAGGGCACAUGUUUCCUCUGUUUGUAACAGAACAACUACACUACCUGAGAAAGAGAUUCGAAAAAUUUAGCAACUCAACUAAUUGUA